AUUGAACGCUGGCGGCAGGCCUAACACAUGCAAGUCGAGCGGAGCGGCGGACGGGUGAGUAAUGCCUAGGAAUCUGCCUGGUAGUGGGGGAUAACGUCCGGAAACGGGCGCUAAUACCGCAUCCUAUCAGCUGAGCCUAGGUCGUAUUAGCUAGUUGGUGGGGUAAAGGACUACCAAGGCGACGAUCCGUAACUGGUCUGAGAGGAUGAUCAGUCACGCUGGAACGGAAACACGGUCCAGAACCCUACGGGAGGAAGCAGUGGGGAAGAUUGGACAAUGGGCGAAAGCCUGAUCCAGCAAUGCCGCGUGUGUGAAGAAGGUCUUCGGAUUGUGAAGCACUUUAAGUGGAGAGGCGUUACCAACAGAAUAAGCACCGGCUAACUUCGUGCCAGCCGCCGCGGUAAUGC
rnacentral:rRNA from 1 species